rnacentral:rRNA from 1 species
GACGAACGCUGGCGGCGUGCUUAACACAUGCAAGUCGAACGGAAAGGCCCUGCUUUUGUGGGGUGCUCGAGUGGCGAACGGGUGAGUAACACGUGAGUAACCUGCCCUUGACUUUGGGAUAACUUCAGGAAACUGGGGCUAAUACCGGAUAGGAGCUCCUGCUGCAUGGUGGGGGUUGGAAAGUUUCGGCGGUUGGGGAUGGACUCGCGGCUUAUCAGCUUGUUGGUGGGGUAGUGGCUUACCAAGGCUUUGACGGGUAGCCGGCCUGAGAGGGUGACCGGCCACAUUGGGACUGAGAUACGGCCCAGACUCCUACGGGAGGCAGCAGUGGGGAAUAUUGCACGAUGGGCGGAAGCCUGAUGCAGCAACGCCGCGUGCGGGAUGACGGCCUUCGGGUUGUAAACCGCUUUCGCCUGUGACGAAGCGUGAGUGACGGUAAUGGGUAAAGAAGCACCGGCUAACUACGUGCCAGCAGCCGCGGUGAUACGUAGGGUGCGAGCGUUGUCCGGAUUUAUUGGGCGUAAAGGGCUCGUAGGUGGUUGAUCGCGUCGGAAGUGUAAUCUUGGGGCUUAACCCUGAGCGUGCUUUCGAUACGGGUUGACUUGAGGAAGGUAGGGGAGAAUGGAAUUCCUGGUGGAGCGGUGGAAUGCGCAGAUAUCAGGAGGAACACCAGUGGCGAAGGCGGUUCUCUGGGCCUUUCCUGACGCUGAGGAGCGAAAGCGUGGGGAGCGAACAGGCUUAGAUACCCUGGUAGUCCACGCUGUAAACGGUGGGUACUAGGUGUGGGGUCCAUUCCACGGGUUCCGUGCCGUAGCUAGCGCUUUAAGUACCCCGCCUGGGGAGUACGGCCGCAAGGCUAAAACUCAAAGGAAUUGACGGGGCCCCGCACAAGCGGCGGAGCAUGCGGAUUAAUUCGAUGCAACGCGUAGAACCUUACCUGGGUUUGACAUGGAUCGGGAGCGCUCAGAGAUGGGUGUGCCUCUUUUGGGGUCGGUUCACAGGUGGUGCAUGGCUGUCGUCAGCUCGUGUCGUGAGAUGUUGGGUUAAGUCCCGCAACGAGCGCAACCCUUGUUCACUGUUGCCAGCACGUUAUGGUGGGGACUCAGUGGAGACCGCCGGGGUCAACUCGGAGGAAGGUGGGGAUGACGUCAAGUCAUCAUGCCCCUUAUGUCCAGGGCUUCACGCAUGCUACAAUGGCUGGUACAGAGAGUGGCGAGCCUGUGAGGGUGAGCGAAUCUCGGAAAGCCGGUCUCAGUUCGGAUUGGGGUCUGCAACUCGACCUCAUGAAGUCGGAGUCGCUAGUAAUCGCAGAUCAGCAACGCUGCGGUGAAUACGUUCCCGGGGCU